GGGCAUGCGGCGCAUUAGCUAGGUUGGCGGGGCAACGGCCCACCAAGGCUACGAUGCGUAGGGGUUCUGACGAGGAAGGUCCCCCACACUGGUACUGAGACACGGACCAGACUCCUACGGGAGGCAGCAGUGAGGAAUAUUGGGUCAAUGGGCGAGAGCCUGAACCAGCCAAGUCGCGUGCGGGAAGACGGCCCUACGGGGUUGUAAAACCGCUUUAGCCGGGGAGUAACAAGCGCCACGUGUGGCGCCAUGAGAGUACCCGGAGAAUAAGCAUCGGCUAACUCCGUGCC
rnacentral:rRNA from 1 species